CUCCCCUGUCAAUUACAAGAAACAGUAUGCCAUUCCAGCUUUGAUGAAAUAAAGUAAUGGUUUGAUUUGGAGAGCUUUAUUAUUAUAGACAGGGAUGAUGACCUGCAGUAGAAAGUUCCUUAUAACUCAUCAUGGCCAUUACAGCAGAUCUGAUUAAAAUUUGUUUAGAAAGCCACCAAAUAUGUCCAUGAAAAGUAGAAAAAAGACAGCAAUUCUAUAUAAUGUACAUAUAUGUACUAAGCAGAAGCAUUGACUGUUUCAAGACCAAAUGAAUUGGAAUUUAGUGUUUUGAUGCUGAGAGACAGAGGAAAAUUAACUAGACAAUUUAGCUUCUUUUUCAUCAUCAUGUAUCACUGAAGUUGAUGUUUACCAUCUUAAAGAGCUUUUACCUCAGUUAAAAUGAAUUCUAAAUACGGACAGUUUGGAGAUUUGUGAAUUUUCUUACAAUUGGAGUUUCAAAAAAGUAUUUCAUUUAACAAAAUUAUAUUUCAUGGAUGUAAUUUGUCGUUUCUUUCAUGAAAUAUUUGAAAAAUCUGCAAUACAUUUGUAUCUGACCAAGUGAGAGAUCUACAAAUAGACAUAUGAUAUUCAGUUGAACUGUAAAGAAGGAGAUAUUCAUUUAUAAGACUU